rnacentral:rRNA from 1 species
GUUCAUAACCCUUUGUUGUCCGACUCUGUUGCCUCCGGGGCGACCCUGCCUUCGGGCGGGGGCUCCGGGUGGACACUUCAAACUCUUGCGUAACUUUGCAGUCUGAGUAAACUUAAUUAAUAAAUUAAAACUUUUAACAACGGAUCUCUUGGUUCUGGCAUCGAUGAAAAACGCAGCGAAAUGCGAUAAGUAAUGUGAAUUGCAAAAUUCAGUGAAUCAUCCAAUCUUUGAACGCACAUUGCGCCCCCUGGUAUUCCGGGGGGCAUGCCUGUUCGAGCGUCAUUUCACCACUCAAGCCUCGCUUGGUAUUGGGCAACGCGGUCCGCCGCGUGCCUCAAAUCGACCGGCUGGGUCUUCUGUCCCCUAAGCGUUGUGGAAACUAUUCGCUAAAGGGUGCUCGGGAGGCUACGCCGUAAAACAAACCCAUUUCUAAGGUUGACCUCGGAUCAGGUAGGGAUACCCGCUGAACUUAAGCAUAUCAAUAA